rnacentral:rRNA from 1 species
GUGAGGAAUAUUGGACAAUGGGUGGAAGCCUGAUCCAGCCAUCCCGCGUGUAGGACGACUGCCUUAUGGGUUGUAAACUACUUUUAUCUGGGGAUAAACCUACUCACGUGUGAGUAGCUGAAGGUACCAGAAGAAUAAGCACCGGCUAACUCCGUGCCAGCAGCCGCGGUAAUACGGAGGGUGCAAGCGUUAUCCGGAUUUAUUGGGUUUAAAGGGUCCGUAGGCGGAUUAAUCAGUCAGUGGUGAAAUCCCGCAGCUUAACUGUGGAACUGCCAUUGAUACUGUUAGUCUUGAGUGAUGUUGAAGUGGCUGGAAUGUGUAGUGUAGCGGUGAAAUGCUUAGAUAUUACGCAGAACACCAAUUGCGAAGGCAGGUCACUAAGUAUCAACUGACGCUGAUGGACGAAAGCGUGGGGAGCGAACAGGAUUAGAAACCCCGGUAGUCC